CUCGUAGGUGGCCAACUAAGUCAGACGUGAAAUCCCUCGGCUUAACCGGGGAACUGCGUCUGAUACUGGAUGGCUUGAGUUUGGGAGAGGGAUGCGGAAUUCCAGGUGUAGCGGUGAAAUGCGUAGAUAUCUGGAGGAACACCGGUGGCGAAGGCGGCACCCUGGACCAACACUGACACUGAGGAGCGAAAGCCAGGGGGAGCAAACG
rnacentral:rRNA from 1 species